GUGCAAACAGUAGCAGCGCCAGAUUGCAAUAUGAGAAUAUCAGUGGUGUUCUUGGUCUUGAUGAUAAUAAUGUGUGCAAUGUUCCAAGGAUCUGAAUCUCUUCCUUGUGGAAGAAAUAGACGUAGACGAAUCACAACAACAACAACAACAACAACAGCAGCAACAUCAUAAGUUUUGGCCCAAGCACAAUAUAUCUGGAAUAAAUUGAACCUUAUGUCUGUUUAAUUAUAGAAUAGCAAAGUUGUGUCUCACAUAGCUGUUGUCUAGUUUUUUAGUCUAGUUAUUUAGUCAAUUGUUAUCGGUAAUGUAGCGUUCACUUCAUUCUAAUAGCAAAAAAUUAGCUAAAGGUAGAGAUAAAAAAUGAAAUUAAUAGUAGUCCACUCUAGACUCUGGACACAGUGAGUGCAAAUAAAAAAAGCAAAUAAAAAAUAAAAUAAAACAUUUA
rnacentral:sRNA from 1 species